AAUGUUUCCUUCAGCUAAAUCAUUCCCUAAAAUGAACGAGACACCACUGAUUGGGCUCUCAGUACGGUCAUCCCAAUACCCCACACUAACAAAUCAGAACCAGACGAAGUCUCAUUGGACAGUGGCAGGACAUCACCUAACAUCAUCGAAUGAUAGGCUGCCGUAUCACGGAGGAUUGUUAUCUGCACCUUUUCUUUUCCCUCUGGUCACAGAAACAAAGCCCUCUGUAACGAAAGGCUGAAAACGAGCAUCAUUGUCAGAGAUUUUACACUCAGAAUGCACAGAAUGCACUUCAGGAGAAGUCACAGUUUUUAUUAGACACACGCCAGCAGGCGGUUUGUUAGGUUUAGACUGACCUUUCUUUUUUAGAGCAGGACAGACUGCGAUUAAAUGACCCAGCUCAUGGCAGUAAUAACACUCGCUGCUGUCACCAGCAACCGUGGGAAUAUUUCUCCAUGCAAGCUUCGGUGGUCGGUUUCUCCGUUCAGACACAACAGUUGGUCCACGCGAUGACUGUGGAGAAAAUACACUUUUAUGAGUCAAAAUAAACUCAUCAGCUAAGACGGCUGUGUAACCCAGAUGAAAACAGUAGUAUAGCUGUCGUUCUCCUGCAUUAUUUUGGCCUUAUUGGGGUUCGGCCAAUCCCAGUAGUCGCGGUGACGUCAUUACGUUGUUCCCCUCAGCGCGCUGUUUUGUAAUUAGCGGCUGCAGCAUUCAGGCGUGCAGGAGCGGUGGGGAAGCCACACACGAGAGAGCUGCAGGAGCCCCUUAUCGUAGCCAAAUCAGAGACGGACGACGGAGUGAGAGAGUAGAUGCAAAUCGUGGAACUGGCCAGGUCCUUGAUUGAUGGCGAGCUUAAUGGAGCCCUGAACCUAAAGCAAAGCAACUGCUGAAGAACUGAGUCGCACCUCUCCUGCCAGGCUGGUAGGGGGCUCUUUGUGGCCCACAAACUCUCCCCACUCAAAACCUUGAAUUGUCCGCCUUGUCCACAUACAAUCUUUUUUUCCACAAACCCCUCCUAUGCGCACUUUUCCUCCUGGACAAUCACAUUCAACCCAGACGUGGGUUACAUGAACUGUGGGUUGGGUUGGUACAUUGGAGUCAAUUUCCCAAGUGUUGGGAAUUUUGUGGACUCAUUGGCGCUUUGCAUUGACAUUCGAAUUGUAUAUCAAUGUUUCUGAGUCAUGUCCUGAAGUUGCAUAGUUAAUGAAUUAUUUUGAAUAUUCAUUAUUGAAUGGCCAUUUAUGAGUUACUGUUUGUUAUUCACUGUAAAUAUUUGCACUGUUGGCUGUCUUGUAUGUUUAAAGAAAUAUUCAAUAUAUGGUACCUGCAAAUACAAAAUCAGCUUCCUGUCUACUCUCUCCUUGAGCCGAAUUUAGUCUUCUGAGUACUAGCCUAACGAACCUAACUACUUCUGGUGUUAGUAAACCAAUUCUUUACUACUUACCUACUACACAGGUGUUACAGCUGCAUUUGUGACUUUCUUUUCAUUCAGAUUUACAAAUUAUAGAAAUUUGAUGUAAAUUCCUCUAGCAGUAUUAACUCACACAUCUCUUCCAGAGAUUUCACAUUACAGUCUUGACACCACUUGUCAAACUAAAAGCUUUUCUCGCACACAAGUUCUACGUAGUUCUUGCUGGCAUUUUUUUCACGGCUUCUAAAUUUUUGUCUAUAUGCCUCACUAACUAGAGAGGUAAGGCUUUGUUGUUCUUUUUAAAACUUUGUUUUGGCAGGUCAGUUUUGGUUAAUAGAUUAGUGGCGUUUUGUUUGUUGUUUUUGCCCACUGUCGAUUUUAGUUACCCAUCACCAUUGUUACGGUUCACAGAUUUAUUGUAAAUAAACACAUACAUUACAUGAGAGAAUGUGUGUUGUAGCGGAUUGGGACCAGGGGAAGGAUGCCUCUUCAUGUUUCACCCAGUGA